UACGUAGGUGGCAAGCGUUGUCCGGAUUUACUGGGCGUAAAGGAUGCGUAGGCGGACAUUUAAGUCAGAUGUGAAAUACCCGAGCUUAACUUGGGUGCUGCAUUUGAAACUGGGUGUCUAGAGUGCAGGAGAGGUAAGUGGAAUUCCUAGUGUAGCGGUGAAAUGCGUAGAGAUUAGGAAGAACACCAGUGGCGAAGGCGACUUACUGGACUGUAACUGACGCUGAGGCAUGAAAGCGUGGGGAGCAAAACGG
rnacentral:rRNA from 1 species